UGGGGAAUUUUGGACAAUGGGCGAAAGCCUGAUCCAGCAAUGCCGCGUGUGUGAAGAAGGCCUUCGGGUUGUAAAGCACUUUUGUCCGGAAAGAAAUCCUUGGCUCUAAUACAGUCGGGGGAUGACGGUACCGGAAGAAUAAGCACCGGCUAACUACGUGCCAGCAGCCGCGGUAAUACGUAGGGUGCAAGCGUUAAUCGGAAUUACUGGGCGUAAAGCGUGCGCAGGCGGUUUGCUAAGACCGAUGUGAAAUCCCCGGGCUCAACCUGGGAACUGCAUUGGUGACUGGCAGGCUAGAGUAUGGCAGAGGGGGGUUAGAAUUCCACGUGUAGCAGUGAAAUGCGUAGAGAUGUGGAGGAAUACCGAUGGCGAAGGCAGCCCCCCUGGGCCAAUACUGACGCUCAUGCACGAAAGCGUGGGGAGCAAACAGGAUUAGAUACCCUGGUAGUCCACGCCCUAAACGAUGUCAACUAGUUGUUGGGGGAUUCAUUUUCCUUAGUAACGUAGCUAACGCGUGAAGUUGACCGCCUGGGGGAGUACGGUCGCAAGAUUAAAACUCAAAUGAAUUGNC
rnacentral:rRNA from 1 species